AAAACUAGCCAGUCUUUUGGGUAUGAAACCCAUUUGGGCGAGAGUAGUACUAGGAUGGGUGACCUCCUGGGAAGUUCUCGUGAAAGGGUUUC
rfam:Triticum aestivum genome assembly, contig: Triticum_aestivum_CS42_TGACv1_scaffold_220777_3B